rnacentral:rRNA from 1 species
GACGAACGCUGGCGGCGUGCCUAAUACAUGCAAGUUGAGCGCUGACGGUUGGUACUUGUACCCACUGGAUGAGCAGCGAACGGGUGAGUAACGCGUGGGGAAUCUGCCUUUUAGCGGGGGACAACAUUUGGAAACGAAUGCUAAUACCGCAUAAAAACUUUAAACACAAGUUUUAAGUUUGAAAGAUGCAUUUGCAUCACUCAAAGAUGAUCCCGCGUUGGAUUAGCUAGUUGGGGAGGUAAAGGCUCACCAAGGCGAUGAUACAUAGCCGACCUGAGAGGGUGAUCGGCCACCUUGGGAAUGAGAACAGGCCCAAAAUCCUACGGGAGGCAGCAGUAGGGAAUUUUCGGCAAUGGACGAAAGUCUGGCCGAGCAACGCCGCGUGAGUGAAGAAGGUUUUCGGAUCGUAAAACUCUGUUGGUAGAGAAGAACGUUGGUGAGAGUGGAAAGCUCAUCAAGUGACGGUAACUACCCAGAAAGGGACGGCUAACUACGUG